rnacentral:rRNA from 1 species
CCUACGGGAGGCAGCAGUGAGGAAUAUUGGUCAAUGGGCGCGAGCCUGAACCAGCCAAGUCGCGUGAGGGAAGACGGUCCUAUGGAUUGUAAACCUCUUUUGUCGGGGAGCAAAAGACGCCACGCGUGGCGUUCCGAGAGUACCCGAAGAAAAAGCAUCGGCUAACUCCGUGCCAGCAGCCGCGGUAAUACGGAGGAUGCGAGCGUUAUCCGGCUUUAUUGGGUUUAAAGGGUGCGCAGGCGGAAGAUCAAGUCAGCGGGAAAAUUGAGAGGCUCAACCUCUUCGAGCCGUUGAAACUGGUUUUCUUGAGUGAGUGAGAAGUAUGCGGAAUGUGUGGUGUAGCGGUGAAAUGCAUAGAUAUCACGCAGAACUCCGAUUGCGAAGGCAGCAUACCGGCGCUCAACUGACGCUCAUGCACGAAAGUGUGGGUAUCGAACAGGAUUAGAUACCCUAGUAGUC